rnacentral:rRNA from 1 species
AAUUUUGGACAAUAGGGGAAACCCUGUUCUAGCAAUCCCGCGUGUAUGAUGAAGGCCUUCGGGUUGUAAAGUACUUUUGGCAGAGAAGAAAAGGUACCUCAUAAUCUGAGAUCCUGUUGCCGGUACCUGCAGAUUAAGAACCGACUAACUCCGUGCAAGCAGCCCCGGUAAUCCGUAGGGUGCAAGCGUUAAUCGGAAUUACUGGGCGUAAGGCGUGUGUAGGCGGUUCGGAAAGAAAGAUGUGAAAUCCCAGGGCUCAACCUUGGAACUGCAUUUUUAACUGCCGAGCUAGAGUAUGUCAGAGGGGGGUAGAAUUCCACGUGUAGCAGUGAAAUGCGUAGAUAUGUGGAGGAAUACCGAUGGCGAAGGCAGCCCCCUGGGAUAAUACUGACGCUCAGACACGAAAGCGUGGGGAGCAAACAG